UCCUUCCAGCUAAUAGACUGAAAAAGGUGAGGGAGUUUUGCAGACUUAAUUAAGGUCCUAAGUCAAUUGAUUUUGAAGUCAAGGGGGCAUUUUCAUGGGUGGGCCUGACUAAAUCAGGUGGAAGUCUUUGAAAGAGUAUCUGGGCCCUCUCAGAGGGUCUCUCAGAGACUCUCCAUCUAUUGCUGACUUUGAAGAAGGAAGCUUCUAUGUGGUGACAGGGUGGCUUGGCAAGGAACUACUGUAGUCUCUAGUUGCUAAGGACUAUCCCUGGCUGACAGCCAACAAGAAAACAGGAACCACAGUUCUAGUCCUACAACCACGAGGGGAAGAAUUCUGCCAACAGUCUGAGGAGCUUGCGGGCCAAUGUUAAGCCUUAGAUGAGACCAGUUGAGCCUCCGAUGAGACCACAGCCCCAGCCGACACCUGGACAGCAGCCUGGUAAAGCUCUGAAGCAGAGAACGUAGCUGUAGCACAACCCAGGAAGGGGCAUACAACACAUAUGGCAGUUUAACAGAUCACUGUGAAGCAGACACCUGGAAAUCGAGUGGUGACAGGGCCUUGCCAACAUCCCAGAAGCCGGAAGUGUGCAGUUCCACACCAUCCCGGCCUCGCUGCCCAAAACUGAGGAUGUCGGGAAGCGUUUGCCCCAGAGCUCAGUGAGGUCUACCUCUCACAUCCAGAGGGAGGUUGAAGUUAGGCCAGGCAGAGACGUGCUACAAUAUACCUUGUAAGGACAUUAGAACCUGGACGGAAA